rfam:Alligator mississippiensis ScZkoYb_555, whole genome shotgun sequence.
UGGUUCAGCGGUAGAAUCCUUGUCUGCCACACAGGAGGCCCGGGUUGAAUUCCUGG